rnacentral:rRNA from 1 species
ACCAGCACCCCGAGUGGUCGGGACGAUUAUUGGGCCUAAAGCAUCCGUAGCCGGUCAUGCAAGUCCUCCGUUAAAUCCACCUGCUUAACAGAUGGGCUGCGGAGGAUACUACAAGGCUAGGAGGCGGAAGAGGCAAGCGGUACUCAGUGGGUAGGGGUAAAAUCCUCUGAUCCAUUGAAGACCACCAGUGGCGAAGGCGGCUUGCCAAUACGCGCUCGACGGUGAGGGAUGAAAGCUGGGGGAGCAAACCGG